UGCCAUGCCUUUCCACAGCUUUCUUGAACUUCUCUUGCGCCUCUCCUUAAUUACUCCCCACUCUCUCUGUCUCUCCCUUUCUCUCCGUUGGUAGAGAGAGACAUGAACGGGGAGAGAGAACAGGAGCAGGAGCAGCAAGAAGAGGGUCAAGAAAGCUGUGGGAAGAAAUGGCAUA
rnacentral:pre_miRNA from 1 species